ensembl:lncRNA
CAAAUGUCAAAUUAUUCACAUAAUACCAUUACUUAUCUACGCACAUUUGACAGGUUGAGAAGCUUAAAGUACAAAGGGAAAACAGUAUUUUCUUUAGUAUUUUUUAUUAUUAUUAAAGGGACAGAACACCCCAAAAUUAAAAUAAUUUACUAUCAUGCCAUCCCCAGAUGUACAGACUGGCUUUCUUAGGAUGAGGGUGUUUUUCUUCAAAAUAAAGAAAGUUAAUUAUAUCUGGAAUGAGGGUAAUUUUAAUUUUAAGAUGCACUAUCCAUUAAAAUAGCAUAUAUUGUCAUAAUUACGACUACACUUAUUUUCAGACUAGUUACUAAAGCCUAGAUAUGUGUUCUUAUCAGAUCUGCCAAGUAGGAAAAUGAUACGACCUGCCCAACCCAACAUGUUUCUUGUUCAUUUUUGCAAAACAUUGCACAUUACCGUGUCCAUAGCAUUCCAUCCCCCCCACUUUUUUUUUCUUCUUAAAAUGCAAAUAUAUCAUGUCAAACUGGACAUAUGAGAUCCUCCUACAUAAGUCAUAACCAGACAUUUUCAAGAACCAGAUCUGGAUCAUUAAUAGGAUGAUGAUGGAUCGCUUCAUGCUGCUGCUCAUAUUUCUUUCAGCAUUUAUAAAUGAGAGGUUACUGUAUGUCAAUGGACAAACAUCUGCUACUACUACGCUGCUUACUACGACUGAGGCCACUGAUCUAAACACCACUACAUCUGCUCCUAUGACCACCGUACCAAAUACUACAGAACCAACUCCCCGCCCUAUUUCCACUACUACCAAUCCUACUCCCACCCCUGUUAUCACUACAACCACCCCUACUACCACUCCUGUUAUUACUACUACCACCCCUCUUACCACUACUACCACCCCUACUGCCACCCCUGUUAUUACUACUACCACCCCUAUUACCACUACUACCAGUCCUACUACCAGCCCUAUUACCACUACUACCAAUCCUACUACCACCCCUGUUAUCACUACAACCACCCCUACUACCACCCCUGUUAUCACUACUACCACCCCUAUUACCACUACUACCACCCCUACUGCCACCCCCGUUAUUACUCCUACCACCCCUAUUACCACUACUACCAAUCCUACUACCACCUCUAUUAUCACUACUACCACCCCUACUGCCACCCCUAUUAUUACUACUACCACCCCUAUUACCACUACUACCAGUCCUACUACCACGCCUGUUAUCACUACUACCACCCCUAUUACCACUACUACCAAUCCUACUACCACCUCUGUUAUCACUACUACCACCCCUACUGCCACCCCUAUUACCACUACUACCAAUCCUAUUACCACUACUACCAGUCCUACUACCACCCCUGUCAUCACUACUACCACCUCUACUACCACUAAUACCCUUCCUACUACCACUCCUUUUAUCACUCCUACCACCCCUAAUACUACUACUACCAUUCCUGCUACUACCUCUGUUAUCACUACUACCAACCCUAUUACCACUACUACCAUCACUACUACCACACCUACUGACAAUACUACCACCCCUACUACCACCCUUGUUAUCACUACUACCACCCCUAUUAUCACUACUACCAUUCCUACUACCACCCCUGUUAUCACUACUACCAUCUCUACUACCACCACCCCUACUACCACUACAACAACCCCUACUAGCAACCCUACUACCACGACUACCAGUCCUACUACCACCCCUGUUAUCACCAGUACCAUCACAACUAGCAACCCUACUACCAGUCCUUCUACCACCCCUGUUAUCACUAGUACCAUCACAACUAGCACCCCUACUACCACUACUACCAGUCCUACUACCACCCCUGUAAUCACUGCUACCAUCACUACUACCACCCCUACUACCACCCCUGUUAUCACUACUAGCACCCCUACUACCACUACUACCAGUCCUACUACCACCCCUCUUAUCACUACUACCAUCACUACUACCACCCCUACUACCACCCCUGUUAUCACUACUAGCACCCCUACUACCACUACUACCAGUCCUACUACCACCCCUAUUACCACUACUACCACCACAUUAAGUGCUAUGACCACCAGAUCAACCAUAACUACCACUUCAACCACUUCAUCAACAUCAACUACCGUCCCUAACCCGCUUUUGACCACUUCUCAACCUACAGGUAAUACCUGUCCAGAGGAAACACUCAACGGUUUGACCUUCCCACUCACUGUGAUUGGUCAGACUAGCUAUUCAACACAGCUUUGCCCUCCAGGAACAGCCAGUGCUGGUUUUCCAGUGGCCUCGGCUCAGUGUUUGAAUUUACCACUUUUCCACGCAUUUGGUGGAUUUAAACGUCUGGAAUGUGGCUUGAACCUGGAGGUGUUAGAACGCAAAUUCAACGUCUGUAUUUAUAUCUUUGAAAUUCAAUAG